rnacentral:snoRNA from 1 species
GCAAUGAUGACACUUUCUUGUUUUGAUCACCAAUGAAAAUACACUUAUCAAUUCCUCUAAGAAGUUCUGAGCUC